GACGAACGCNGGCGGCGUGCUUAACACAUGCAAGUCGAACGGAGCUAUUUAUUUCGGUAGAUAGCUUAGUGGCAAACGGGUGAGUAACGCGUAGGCAACCUGCCCUCAGGAUGGGGACAACGGCUCGAAAGAGCCGCUAAUACCGAAUGACGUAACUCUUCCACAUGGAAGAGAUACUAAAGAUGGGUCAAACCAUCGCCUAAGGAUGGGCCUGCGUCUGAUUAGCCAGUUGGUGAGGUAACGGCUCACCAAAGCGACGAUCAGUAGCCGGUCUGAGAGGAUGAACGGCCACAAUGGGACUGAGACACGGCCCAUACUCCUACGGGAGGCAGCAGUGGGGAAUCUUCCGCAAUGGGCGAAAGCCUGACGGAGCAACGCCGCGUGAGUGAAGAAGGUCUUCGGAUCGUAAAGCUCUGUUGUCGGGGACGAAAGAGUAGACGAGGAAAUGCGUCUACUAAGANG
rnacentral:rRNA from 1 species